rnacentral:rRNA from 1 species
GUCGAACGGAUCCUUCGGGAUUAGUGGCGGACGGGUGAGUAACACGUGGGAACGUGCCCUUUGGUUCGGAACAACUCAGGGAAACUUGAGCUAAUACCGGAUGUGCCCUUCGGGGGAAAGAUUUAUCGCCAUUGGAGCGGCCCGCGUAGGAUUAGCUAGUUGGUGAGGUAAAGGCUCACCAAGGCUACGAUCCUUAGCUGGUCUGAGAGGAUGAUCAGCCACAUUGGGACUGAGACACGGCCCAAACUCCUACGGGAGGCAGCAGUGGGGAAUCUUGCGCAAUGGGCGAAAGCCUGACGCAGCCAUGCCGCGUGAAUGAUGAAGGUCUUAGGAUUGUAAAAUUCUUUCACCGGGGACGAUAAUGACGGUACCCGGAGAAGAAGCCCCGGCUAACUUCGUGCCAGCAGCCGCGGUAAUACGAAGGGGGCUAGCGUUGCUCGGAAUUACUGGGCGUAAAGGGAGCGUAGGCGGAUAGUUUAGUCAGAGGUGAAAGCCCAGGGCUCAACCUUGGAAUUGCCUUUGAUACUGGCUAUCUUGAGUACGGAAGAGGUAUGUGGAACUCCGAGUGUAGAGGUGAAAUUCGUAGAUAUUCGGAAGAACACCAGUGGCGA